UCUCUUUCCCCUCCUCUUCUCUCUCUCUCUCUCUCACUCUCACACACAAACACACAUAUUCCUGACUUAUAUAGAGAUAUUAUUGAAAGUUCAUGUAUGUGUAUGCCUGAGAAAUCUGCAAUUGAUAGUAUAUACUAUCCCAUUUUAGUGGGAUUUUGUGAUAUUCUCUAGCUAAUUUACAUGGUAGAUUUUGAUUGAUUGUUGAAUUUGAGCGUCGUCUUCUAUACUUUAAUUUAACUGAUGUAUGAGCUGGAGAAUCCAAUGCCCUUGCUGCUUUCAUUUUCUUGAUUUCUGUUUUUCCCUUGUUUUUAUUGCAGGAAAUAAAAAAUUGAAAAUAGGGUUAAUGUUUUUAGUUUUGUUAUCUCGUGUUGAGCUAGAUGAGAUUCUUGUUUGCUUCUGCCAUCCUCAAUUUUUUUAUUUAAGCCCUCUCUCUCUCUCUUGAGAUUACUAAUGAAUUUGAGUUUCUUCACUCUCUCUCUCUCUCUCUUCACUAUAUAGAGCAUAUUUGAAGGAGCUUGGAUCUGUGGAUGCAAAGAUAUGAGUCGUUGUUUUCUGGUGCAGCAUCAUCAAGAUUCACAAGACAAAGGGUUGUUUAGUGAUCUCUUUCUCUCUUUCUCUCUCUACACCAUGAGAAUCUUGAUGAUGCUGCAUCGGCAAUAAAUGACUUUUGCCGGCAAAAGGCGCAGAAAACCCUUUGUUCAUCAACCUUGCUACUUUUGCUUCUUUUUUUUAUCUACUAAAUAUUUUCUCUGCUUUAAUUCCUUAUUUUUAUUCAUUAUUACUAUUGUUUCUGUCAGAAUCCGACACAAGUGACUACUGAUGGAAGUAAUUCAGUCUGCAGGUGUAAUAGAUCUGAGAUAUUUUAUCUUGUUUUUUGGUAACAAAAAAAGGGGUUUUCCUAAUUAAUUAACAACUAAUUUAAGACUAGUUUCCUUGAUUUUGAACAUUAAUACACAGCAAAACACAAGUUCUAUGGGAGGCCAAGCCACUGGACAAGUGAAAAGCAACACAAAUCAGAUUUGAAGUUCACACACACAUGUACAGAAAUAUGUAUGUGUGUUUUAAGAACAAAAAGUGAAGAGAUUCUUUGGAAUUUGCUUAAGCAGCUGAAUGGUCCAUGAUGGUGAUGUCUCACCACUUGUCUUCACAUAGCUAGCCACGAGAUCAACGAGACUUGAUAACAUAACACCUUUACCUUUCAUUACUAAUAUAUUACUAGUACUCCUAGUUUCUUAUUUUUUUCAAGUUAUUUUAAAAAAAUAAAAAGUAUGAAAUUAAACAAUAUAUAUGAGGAAAAUAAUGAGAUCCAUGGCUUAAGACAUGUAGUAGUAUUUGGGAGAAAUUUUGAGUGAAAUAAGAAAAUUUGCACCUUUCAAAGAUGAUAAUAUCUUGUUGAUGACCAUUUACAACCAAAAUGAAGGUGACCUAGUUAGAAUUAACAGUAGUUAAAGUUGAGGUCGAAGAAAGGUAGUAGUACAAGAUAUUAACCCCACAAGAUAUGUGAAAUUAUUAGUGCCAACUAGCCUUCUGAAACCUAUUAAUGGAAAAUACGAAGUUGGUCCCUUCUGGUAAUAACUGCACACUAAUACUACACUCAUUUUACUCACCAAGGUAAAUUUUUUACCACUGCACUGCAUCGCUCACAAACGUUAAGAAAAGGUGUGGUCCAAUGCCAACGUCCAAGUUAAGGCGUUGGCAUCCCGCAUCCACAUUUUGUCGUACGAAUGGAUCGGAUCUGGAUCAGAUCAGCCCUUUAUUAUACCAUGUACCAUACCACCACCAUAAAUCAGGUUCAGUAGAUUUUUUCUAAAUUGAUCAUUGGGUGUCUAACUCCAACUGUGAGAGAAAAUAUGCAAGUUCAUUGAAUAUAUAUUUACUCACUUUACAUGCCAUGGUUUCCUUUUUUUUCCUCAAAAGAAUGUAAAAGCACAAUUGGCUUUGUACUGUCAUUAGAGAAAAAGGAAAUUCCUCUUCAUGUCAUCAAUUAUUCAUAUCUGAGCCAGCUCCACAAACAUGGGGGCACAGUAGAGAAUCCAACAGAGAGGUUCAUGUCUCAUGUCUCCAUGAAGGCCUUUCCUGUAUGUUAAAAGUUUAGCAUUAAUUAAGCUCAUGAUCAGACAUGUUCCAUGGCAAGAUUGUGUUACAAGCACCUAUAAAGAAGUUUUUUCGCAAUUCAUUACGCAUUUGAAGGAUAUGUGGCAAAAGUAUGGUAAAAACUUGCUGAAUCAAAGGCCUAAUGCUAACUACCUAUAUAGUUCAACUUCAGCCAUACUAGUAAACCAUGCUAAUGAUGCAAAAAACGAUACCUUCAUCGACUAGCCCCAGUCAUCGGCACUGCUGGCAUGACUUUUACCACCAUCACUGGGCCACACACUAAUCCCAAAGGGACCACAGGUUCUGCUUUACCUGUCUGCAAUGGCCCAUACAUCGGUGUACCGAUUCCAUUUCGUGGUGGAUGGCCCCAAAUGUUCUUGCCACCAUCAUAGGUCAUGUCAACGGGCCAAGCCUUUGCCGCAGAACCAUCAUCGUUCAAAAGUUCCAACCUUUCCUCUGAAUAAGCUGAAACAUUCUCAAAGAAUUAGCAGCACACAGAUUCCAGUACUCCUCAUUAAGAGUAAUUGUGUUCUUCAAUGGGGUCAUAAAGCUGCUCUCCCACCCCCUUCCGUCUCCCUGUUAUGCUAUGCUUUGGCAUCUUGAGCUGACACCCCAACAAGAGGGGACACGAACUUCUCCAGAGCGUUUUCCCGCCUUAUAACCUCGAAUACUCUCUGGCUGAUCUGUAGAAAAUAGCAUUGCUUUAGGAACAGCACCAGAAAGUUUUUGAAAUGUCCCAAGAUACAAGCUAGGAAAAGCUUUAAGGGAAACAUAUAUAUAUGUAUAUAUAUAGAUCACCCAUAUCAGUGUUUGAAUACACUCCAAUUAUUCGUUUA